AGGAGCAGGCAAUGCUGUAUCAAGGUAUGGGGCUGGGAUGGGCUGGCCUACCCAAGGGCUACCUAACUCUCUACCUGAGCCCUUUGAGGGAUGGACCCAGGUUGGAGGGCAGAGGGUGACAGAAGCCAGAUGAGAGGAAGGGUGAUCUGCUCCCUCACAGCUCAGGAAGGCAGGGGGUGGGGAGGGGGGGCUCCAGGACCUGGUGGUCCCAUGUAGGUCCUCUUCCACUCAUUCAUAGCACCUCAACUCUUCAUUCAUCUGCUCCAUUGGGUCUCAUGGUAGCUGGUGUGUGUGUGUGUGUGUGUGUGUGUGUGUGUGUGUGCUGGGGAACCAAGGCACAGAACCAUCAAGAAAGGCCCAAACAAGGUCAUGUAGAAAUAGGAAUGUGUUUAAUUUUUAUUAUUUUAUUUUAUUUUUGGUUUUCCGACACAUGGUUUCUCUCUGUAAUGUCCCUGGCUGUCCUAGAACUCCCUUCGGAGAUCAGGCUGGCCUUGAACUCAAAGACCAGCCUACCUCUGCCUUCCCGGCACUGGGAUUAAAGGCAUGGGCUACCAGGCCAAGCCAAUUUAAACAUUUUUAUAGACAGGUUCUAUAUAGCCCCGAAUGGCUUGGAAUUCACAAUAUAAAGCAAGCUGAUCUUCAAUUCAGAGCUCUCUCUUCCUGUCUUUGCCUCUGGGAUUAAAAGUGUAGGCCAUACGCCCAUUCCGAGGCUGGAAAUUAUGAAUAGGAUUCUGGCUCCUAGAUGCUAUUCUCUUUUGUCCCUUCUCCUCACUUCCCCGAGCGUACCUGGUGAGGGAUAGCACAAGCCGGGCUCUCCCAUGGGAUCCAUGUCACUGUGGAUUUGGUCUCUUCUUCUGCAUAGUCCCAGCUUCCCCUUCUUCCUGGAUCAGGAUUCAGGAGCCAGAUGAAUAGAGUGCUUUCUGGUCCUGGCCAGGGAUAGGACUUUCGGGAGGAGGAAGUGUCAGGCUGAGAGAGAAAGGGCGAGAGCAUUCUGAACAGAGGGAACCCUAGGUCAAAGAAAUAGGAAGUUUCCAACCUAGUCUGCGAGUUCUGGCUCCCAGGCCGUUUCCCCCACAGUGCACAGUCACUGUCUUUGGCAUGGCAGUCUGUCUGUCCACCUGCUAGGCCUUAGGCUUUUCAUCUCUCAAAGAUUUCCCCUAGGACUAGCUACAGGGUGGUGGCCUCUGGGAGCUGGGUUGUAGGUUUAAAUCUUCCCUCUAUCACUGCAGCUCUUAAGGCCCAAGACUUGGGAAGAUAGCCAGAGAACUGGGCAGAAGCUAUGGUGGAGCUCCUGCCGUCAGCAUGGUUUAGGGUCCAGGAGAAGCUGGAAGUCCAGGCUUUGAGGAAACCACCUGACUGGUUAGCAAUGUGUCUUAGGAUUCUAUUCCCUUGACACACACACACAUCACUAUUAAGCUUCAACCCUUACUUUCUUAUUCAUCCCCAAGAUCUAAAUAACUUUAGAAGUCCUACAGUCUUUGCAAAUUCUUACAUAUUAAAAUUUCAAUCCCCUUAAAACAUCCAAUCUCUUAAAAUUCAAAGUCUUUUUACAGUUCCAAGUCUUUUAACCGUGAGCGCCAUUAAAAUACUUUCUUACUUCAAGAGGGAAAAGUAUCAGGGCAUAGUCACAAUCAAAAUCAAACUCUAACUGUUCAAUGUCUGGGACCCACUCACAAUCUUCUGGGCUCCUCCAAGGGCUGUGUCACUUCUCCAGCUCUGCCCUUAGUAGCUCACACUUUGUCUUCUAGGCUCCAGCUGCCUGUACUCCACUGCUGCUGUUAUUCUUGGUGGUCAUCUCAUGGUACUGGCAUCCCCAAACACUGCUGUCUUCCACUGCAUCUAGGCUUCACCAAUAGCCUCUCAUAGGCUCUCUUCAUGGUGCCAAGCCUCAACUCCUUUGCAUGACCCCUUCAGUCCUGGGCCAUCAACUGCAACUGAGGCUGCACCUUCACCAAUGGCCUUCCAUGGUCUCUCAUAGUGCCAAGCCUCAACUGCUCUUCAUGACCCCUUCAUGCCUUCAAAACCAGUACCACCUGGGUGACUCUUACACAUUACCCACAUUACCAAGCCCCGCUGCUGCACAAGGUACAACCUUGGCUGCCUCUGGAACACAGUUUCUUUGUACUCUC
rnacentral:lncRNA from 1 species